UUAAGUCAGGCAACGAGCGAGACCCACGCCAACAGUUGCCAGCACGACCUCCGGGUCGGUGGGGACACUGUUGGGACCGCCUCUGCUAAAGAGGAGGAAGGAAUGGGCAACGGUAGGUCAGCAUGCCCCGAAUUAUCCGGGCUACACGCGGGCUACAAUGGGUGGGACAAUGGGUAUCGACACCGAAAGGUGAAGGCAAUCUCCUAAACCCAUCCUUAGUUCGGAUUGUGGGCUGCAACUCGCCCACAUGAAGCUGGAAUCUGUAGUAAUCGUGUCUCAACAUGGCACGGUGAAUAUGUCCCUGCUCCUUGCACA
rnacentral:rRNA from 1 species